CUGUAUGUCCACUUUGGAGAAGUGUCUAUUCGGGUCCUUUGCCCAUUUUUAAAUUUGACUGUUUGGUUUUUUUGGUGUUGAGUUGUAUGAGUUCUUAUAAAUUUUGGGUAUUAAUCCCUUAUUAGAUGUAUCACUGGUGAAUAUGCUCUCAUUCAGUGGGUUGACUUUUCAUUUUUUUGAUGCUUUGCUGUGCAAAAACUUUAGUUUGAUGUGAUGUAGUCCCGUUUGUUUUAGUCUUUUGUUUCCCUUUCCCAAGAAGCUAUAUCAGAAAAAAUGUUUACUAAGAGAAAUGUCCAAGAUUUUGUUGUCUUUGUUUUCUUCUAGGAUUGUUAUAGUUGCAGGUCUUAUGUGUAAGUCUUUUAAUUAAUUUUUAGUUUAUUCUUGUGUAUGGUGUAAGAAGGUGGGGGCAGUUUCAAUUUUUUGCACGUAUCUGUCCAACUCUUUAGUUUAUUGAAUAGAUUCUUUAGCCCCAUUGUAUAUUCUUGCCUCUUUUGUUGACUAUUAAUUGGCUACAAAUGUGUGGUUUUAUUUCUGAACUCUAUUCCAUUGAUCUAUAUCUGUUUUUAUGCCAGAACCAUACUGUUUUAAUUACAAGUUCUUAAUCUAUUUUUGUUUUUGAUAGAUUGCUGGUGUAUUUCCAGUUUUUAAAUGAAGCUGCUGUGAACAAUAAUGUAUGAGUCUUUGUGUGGAUAUGUUUUCUCUUGGGUAAUACUUAAGAGUAGAAUUGCUGCCGAAACCAUAGAAUUGCUGUAGUUGUAUGUUUAGAUUUAUUAGAAACUGAGGUGGUUGGUUCCUUAUCAUUUUAUAUUCCUACGAGUAAUGUGUGAGAGUGUUCCUUGUUAAUGUUUUAUAUUGUAGGUCUUUUUUAAUUUUAGCCAUAUUGGUGGUUGUGUAAUGGAAUCCCAUGGUGUUCUUAAAACUCUUAAAAUUGAUUUUUGUUGUUGUUGAUUUGUCCUUUAUAUGUCUUUUUUCAUAAAAUGUCUGAUCAACUUUUGCUUAUUGUUUUUGUUCGUUUGUUAAUUCUCACCGGAGGAUAUUGAUUUUCAGAAAGAGUGGAAGGGAAGGAGAGAGAAAGAGAAACAUUGAUGCCAGACAAAUCAGUGGGUUGUCCCCUCUCUCCCCACAUGCCCUCCUGGCCGAGUAUCCGAGCCUGCAUUGGAGGUAUGUGCCCUUGACAGGAAGCUGAUGCUGUGACUACUGAGCCACACUGGCUAGGGCAACUUCUGCCUACUGCUUUUAAAGAUUGGAUUGUUUGUCUUUUUAUUAUUGAGUUGUAGGAAUUCUUUAUAUAUCCUGGAUGCCAGUCCUUUGUCGGGUCAAAGUUUUCCAAAUAAUCUUCCAUUUUGUGCUUUGCUUAUUCAUUUUCUUAACCAUUCCUUUUGGUGUAGUCUGGCUUAUCGGUUUUUUUGUUUAUGGUUAUUUUCUGGGUCCUAGUGACAGAAACCUUUGCCUACUUGCAAUUCAUGAAGAUAUUCGUUUCUUCUUUUUUUUUUUUUAAGUUCUUAAUGGUUUUAGCUUUCACAUUUAAAUCUGAUUUUUGCAUAUGGUGUGAAGUCAGGGUCAGUGACUGUCUAUCCCUAUUGUAUUGCUUUGGUGCUUUUGUGAAAUACUGCUUGACCCUUAAAGUGUGCAUGUGUUUCUGGUCUCUAUUCUGUUCCAUUCAUUCAUGUUUUUGUCUGCCAUUCUAAUACUGUCUUGAUUGCUGUGCCUUUAGAGUAACUCUCAAUGUCAACUUCUGUUUUGGAAUGAUUUGGAUAUUUUUGAUCUUUGCAUUUCCACAUAAAUUUUAGAGUCAGCUUGUCAGUUUCUA